UACGUAGGGUGCAAGCGUUGUCCGGAAUUAUUGGGCGUAAAGAGCUCGUAGGCGGUUUGUCGCGUCGAAUGUGAAAACCCGGGGCUCAACCCCGGGCCUGCAUUCGAUACGGGCAGACUAGAGUUCGGUAGGGGAGUCUGGAAUUCCUGGUGUAGCGGUGAAAUGCGCAGAUAUCAGGAGGAACACCGGUGGCGAAGGCAGGUCUCUGGGCCAUAACUGACGCUGAGAAGCGAAAGCGUGGGGAGCGAACAGG
rnacentral:rRNA from 1 species